rnacentral:lncRNA from 1 species
AAUAAUCAGAAAAGAGAAAAUUACUAAGAAAUAUCAAAUGAUAAAAUAAGAAAUAUUAAAAAUCUAUUUUAGAAAGUAGAAAUUAAAAGGAGAAGAAUGAAAUUGGUCCCAUAAAUUUUGGACUAAUAAUGAGAGAGAUAUGAAUUUUAGAAAUAAAAUGGAAAUAAAAGAAAUAAAAGAAAUUAAAAUCAGAAAUUAGAAAAAGAGAAAAAGCGUGGAGCGUUGGAUGAUCCUUCAUUAAUUGACGUGGAUCAUCACACGGCCUAGAAGCGCG